CUUGCUCUGGUGGCGAGUGGCGAACGGGUGAGUAAUAUAUCGGAACGUACCCUAGAGUGGGGGAUAACGUAGCGAAAGUUACGCUAAUACCGCAUACGAUCUUAGGAUGAAAGUGGGGGAUCGCAAGACCUCAUGCUCGUGGAGCGGCCGAUAUCUGAUUAGCUAGUUGGUAGGGUAAAAGCCUACCAAGGCAUCGAUCAGUAGCUGGUCUGAGAGGACGACCAGCCACACUGGAACUGAGACACGGUCCAGACUCCUACGGGAGGCAGCAGUGGGGAAUUUUGGACAAUGGGCGAAAGCCUGAUCCAGCAAUGCCGCGUGAGUGAAGAAGGCCUUCGGGUUGUAAAGCUCUUUUGUCAGGGAAGAAACGGUGAGAGCUAAUAUCUCUUGCUAAUGACGGUACCUGAAGAAUAAGCACCGGCUAACUACGUGCCAGCAGCCGCGGUAAUACGUAGGGUGCAAGCGUUAAUCGGAAUUACUGGGCGUAAAGCGUGCGCAGGCGGUUUUGUAAGUCUGAUGUGAAAUCCCCGGGCUCAACCUGGGAAUUGCAUUGGAGACUGCAAGGCUAGAAUCUGGCAGAGGGGGGGUAGAAUUCCACGUGUAGCAGUGAAAUGCGUAGAUAUGUGGGAGGAACACCGAUGGCGAAGGCAGCCCCCUGGGUCAAGAUUGACGCUCAUGCACGAAAGCGUGGGGAGCAAACAGGAUUAGAUACCCUGGUAGUCCACGCCCUAAACGAUGUCUACUAGUUGUCGGGUCUUAAUUGACUUGGUAACGCAGCUAACGCGUGAAGUAGACCGCCUGGGGAGUACGGUCGCAAGAUUAAAACUCAAAGGAAUUGACGGGGACCCGCACAAGCGGUGGAUGAUGGUGGAUUAAUUCGAUGCAACGCGAAAAACCUUACCUACCCUUGACAUGGCUGGAAUCCUUGAGAGAUCAGGGAGUGCUCGAAAGAGAACCAGUACACAGGUGCUGCAUGGCUGUCGUCAGCUCGUGUCGUG
rnacentral:rRNA from 1 species